ensembl:lncRNA
AGAUAUGGUCCCUACCCACCUAGAGCUUUCAGUCUGGUGAGAGAUAGGUAUCAUAUCUACAUUUAAAGAAAAAUCAUUAUAAACCAUGAGAUGUGAAGAACUGACUCAUUUGAAAAGACCCUGAUGCUGGGAAAGAUUGAAGGCGGGAGGAGAAGGGGACGACAGAGGAUGAGAUGGUUGGAUGGCAUCACUGACUCAAUGGACAUGAGUUUGAAUUCUGCAGUAACUUUGAUCUGAGAUAUGAAGGACCAGUAGAAAUUCACCAGGUAAAGAGAGGAAGAGCAUGGGCACAGUAUGAGCAUAGGCUCUGUGCCAGGAUGGAAGUCAGCCUCAAUGGAUUACUCUAUCAAGGUCACUGCCGUGAACUGCAGAAAAAAUGGGAACAUAAUGAAGUAAAGUUUAAAUAGACCUAACAAAGCCUUGAUUCAAUGUUCCUGGGAUACAGUCUCUUCACUUGAAAAUGCAUAUUCCAGAAUUCAGUUCCACCUGAGAUGGCAGAGGUUCUGAGAACCAUCUGGGGGUUUGAUGUGAUGUGAACAUUUCUUUCGUACUGUUCCUUUUUCCUAUUUGCAUUUAUGUGAUUGACCAUGUGUGCACUAAGUAAACAAAUCUUUCUG